UACAGAGACUGCAAGCGUUGUUCGGAUUCAUUGGGCGUAAAGGGUGCGUAGGCGGCGCGGUAAGUCGGGUGUGAAAUCUCGGAGCUUAACUCCGAAACUGCAUUCGAUACUGCCGUGCUUGAGGACUGGAGAGGAGACUGGAAUUUACGGUGUAGCGGUGAAAUGCGUAGAUAUCGUAAGGAAGACCAGUGGCGAAGGCGGGUCUCUGGACAGUUCCUGACGCUGAGGCACGAAGGCCAGGGGAGCAAACGGG
rnacentral:rRNA from 1 species